CGGCUGGAGCUUGCUCCGGCCGUGAGAGUGGCGAACGGGUGAGUAAUGCGUGACCGACCUGCCCCAUACACCGGAAUAGCUCCUGGAAACGGGUGGUAAUGCCGGAUGCUCCAACAUGACGCAUGUCNUGUUGGGAAAGAUUCUAUCGGUAUGGGAUGGGGUCGCGUCCUAUCAGGUAGUCGGCGGGGUAACGGCCCACCGAGCCUACGACGGGUAGCCGGCCUGAGAGGGCGACCGGCCACAUUGGGACUGAGAUACGGCCCAGACUCCUACGGGAGGCAGCAGUGGGGAAUAUUGCACAAUGGGCGCAAGCCUGAUGCAGCGACGCCGCGUGCGGGAUGACGGCCUUCGGGUUGUAAACCGCUUUUGACUGGGAGCAAGCCCUUCGGGGUGAGUGUACCUUUCGAAUAAGCACCGGCUAACUACGUGCCAGCAGCCGCGGUAAUACGUAGGGUGCAAGCGUUAUCCGGAAUUAUUGGGCGUAAAGGGCUCGUAGGCGGUUCGUCGCGUCCGGUGUGAAAGUCCAUCGCUUAACGGUGGAUCCGCGCCGGGUACGGGCGGGCUUGAGUGCGGUAGGGGAGACUGGAAUUCCCGGUGUAACGGUGGAAUGUGUAGAUAUCGGGAAGAACACCAAUGGCGAAGGCAGGUCUCUGGGCCGUCACUGACGCUGANGAGCGAAAGCGUGGGGAGCGAACAGGAUUAGAUACCCUGGUAGUCCACGCCGUAAACGGUGGAUGCUGGAUGUGGGGANCAUUCCACGGUCUCCGUGUCGGANCCAACGCGUUAAGCAUCCCGCCUGGGGAGUACGGCCGCAAGGCUAAAACUCAAAGAAAUUGACGGGGGCCCGCACAAGCGGCGGA
rnacentral:rRNA from 1 species